rnacentral:rRNA from 1 species
GACGAACGCUGGCGGCGUGCUUAACACAUGCAAGUCGAACGAUGAAGUUCCUUCGGGAAUGGAUUAGUGGCGAACGGGUGAGGAACACGUGAGAAACCUGCCUUUCAUUUUGGGAUAACUCCGGGAAACCGGGGCUAAAACCGAGUACUCCGUCUCGACGGCAUCGCGGAGCCGGGAAACAAUUUUGGUUAAAGAUGGGCGCGCGGCCUAUCAGCUAGUUGGAGAGGGAAGGGCUCACCAAGGCAAAGACGGGUAGCCGGCCUGAGAGGGCGACCGGCCACACUGGGACUGAGACACGGCCCAGACUCCUACGGGAGGCAGCAGUGGGGAAUAUUGGGCAAUGGGCGCAAGCCUGACCCAGCGACGCCGCGUGAGGGAUGAAGGCCUUCGGGUUGUAAACCUCUUUCAGUAGGGAAGAAGCGAAAGUGACGGUACCUAAAGAAGAAGCACCGGCUAACUAUGUGCCAGCCGCCGCGGUAA